AGCAUUAAUGAAAGCAACUGAUAAGAUAAAACUCUCACCGCCGAUGCUCCUCUAUUACCGAUCUACAUCCUCACCCUGCUCAUCUCCGAUAUGUCCCUCCCUCUUCAAUCAUCCCAGUGUUGAUCUACUUCACUUCACCUCAUCCUUUCGAGCCCUAAUCACCGUCCCUUCCUUUGAUUACUUCACUUCACCUCAUCCAUCUCCAAUCUGUCCCUCCCUCUCAAUUGUUCACCUCAUCCAUGUUAGCCUUAAUCAUCCUAGAGAAAAUUUCCAUUUAAAGAGAAAGAAAAAAGGCUAUCUCUCUCUUUCUCCAACUCCAAACCCAUCGCCCCCUCUUUCCUCUCUCUCUCUCCUCUUCUCUCAAAACCCAUUUCAAAUCAUCCACCUUUAUCCUCUCUGAUAGGCCCUUCAAUUUCCCUCAAAACCCCUCUUCGACCCCAAUUUACAACGAUUCCGUUGCGAAGUCGAAACCUGGAAGUGACUCAUCAAAAAGAACACGACAGCCGAUGAGAGCACUCCUGAUUUUGGAAUUGAGGAAAAGGAUGAUGAGGAAGAAUUGGGGGAUUUUGUGAGGGGAGAGUCGGACUACGAUGAUUCCGGGGAUGGAAAGAGGAAGAAGUUUAAGAAAGAUGGUAUUGGUAGUAGUAGGAAGAGGGACAAAUAUUGAGAAACACACACUCACUCUCUGCCUUCGUCGCUCUCUACCCUAGCUACUCCCUCUUCAGCGCCGCUGCCGACUUCGCCCAUUCUCCUCCUUCAACGCUAUCACCGACUUUGUAUCUCCGAGCAAGCGUUAGUGUCGUCGUCGUCGCUUCAAGUAUUCAAGAAUUAGGGACAGACAUUGAGAAACAUCACGAGAAUGGAGCAUGUGGAAACUGUGAUAAUGAGGUAUGACACACAUUUGGGAAAAUAUGGUGGACAACCUCGUUUUGGUGGUCUAAGGUCAACCUUGUGCAUAUCUUCUCAGAUUUGUUGCAAAAUGGGCUACAAACUUUGUGCAACUGGAAGCAUGAGAUUUAAAAACAAUCUACCUUCAAGAGAAAUUGUAGAACAAUUAAUGCCUCUCACUUAUCACAGAUACGCAAUGUUGUCUUCAUGGUAUUUUUUUUCUUGUUGAAAAUUUCUUCAUGGUAGUUCAUUUUUUUUUUCUUUCUACAGCUUUAGAAAUUUAUUGAUGUCAGAUGUCAAAUGACUGUACAUCUUUGAAUGUGUAUUCUUUGUCUACACGUCUCCCUUGCAAUGAUUGCGGCGAGUCCACAGACCUGCUUUACCAAUAUUAGCAAAGGAUGUGGUGAUGUCUGGGAAAGGGAAUUUUUCCUUGGCAUUCCCAAAAUUAAGUAUGAGGUGAGUGGGUAUUUCCAUGAUAUCGUUGUUUAGAUUUUUUUUCAAAAUCUUUGAAAUUAGAACAUUGCAACUGCUUGAAUUUACAUUCAUAUAUUCUUUUGUAUGUUAAAGCCCUUCAAGUAAGAGCCCACUUGCAUUUAUGUGGUAUAAUGCUGAGUAGAGAUUUUUGGGAAAAAAAUGAGUGUGUUUCCUUUUUCCCUCCUCUCACUCUCACCCCUCUCAUAGCUACUCUUGCUUUUCCUCCUUGUUAGGUAUAGAAUCAAAGGUUAUCCAUUAUGCUUUUACCUUUUCCAUCCCUUUUCUUUUUGGGUUUUUCUAGAAAAUUACAGCUUCUAACACUACCCGGUUCUUCAUUUGUAGGUGGUGUUCGUUUCUUGGGAAAAUUCUUGGCUUCUUAUUAUUUAACUUGUUAGCAAGCCACCCUUAGUUCAUUUUGCUCUCUUUUAAUAUUUUUUUUCUUCAUUCUUUUCAUUUGAUUGGGACUGGCAAUGAAGAAUUUCGAUUCUCAAAUUCACAUUAGGGUUUUCUUGCUCGUUGUGUUCAUUGUCGUCGGUCUAUAUAUUUUGUGCAAUAGCCAAGAAGAAGACAUUCUCAUAGCUCCAAUGGAGGAAAAGGAGUAAAAGGCCUUGUAUUAUGCUAUUCAAGGGUUUGUGGGGAAGUGGUGGAAUGGCUCAGAUCUCUAUCUAGACCCUUGUGGUUGGACUCCAAUAUAGGUACUAUUAAUAAUUUCUUGAGGCCACUUUAUAUGGAGAUUUGCCUUAAUUUUGAUAGACCCUAUUAGUGGAUGGUAAGAUUAGUCUCCAAAAUAGUUGGUCUAGUGAGCCAGAUACUGAAUUAUCAAAAUGAAAUAAAAAAAAAUUACUAGCAUAACAAGAAACUUAUCAAUUCAAUAGAACACUACGGAACAAAAAUUUUAUGAGUCUUUUUGGGUGAAAACCAAACCACUUAUCAAGGAAUUCCAAAUGAGCAACUUUAUUUUUAACUUCCAUAACAUUAGAGCUUGUAUUUGAGAUUAGGUGUUGGAAGUGGCUAGAUUGUGUUUUUGUUAUUAUUUAUUAUUAUCCUUUCCAUGCCUUAGUUUUGAUGAGUUCUUGACGGACAUGAAGCAAUUUGCCAUAAUUUUUUUUUUUUGUUUUUUUGUUAUAUAACUUUGAGCUAGAGUGGUGUGUGUAUGCUUCUUUUCAUAGGGGUGUAUGAUCUACUAUAUUUGGUGGACUGUUGAGGAAAGUAAGGCCCUGUUAGUGAGGCUCUGCUAGUGAUAUAGUGGUUGUGCUCUUUUCUUCUUCUUUGAGCUGUUGUUGACUUAAGUGAGAUCAUAGGUGGCUAGAUAUAGCUGUUGUAUUUGCUUGUUGUCCAGCUUAUUCUAGAUGGGUUAAAUCCAGACAUUUUGAUUGGUUGAGUUGAUGCUGUCAUCUUUCUCUUGUUACCUCCAGUUAACCACUGUUCUGUUGUGCUUUUAAGUUGUUGUCAAAGUGCUACUGCUGCUAGUCUCAUGUUGCUGCUGCUGUAACAAUACUAUUGUUGUUGCUUACUUGCUACUCCUCCGCUAUAAGCCAUUGCUGGUGGACUUGAUUCAAAGCUUGUGAUAUGGGAUUUCUCCAAACGACGCCCACAAAAACUUGUUGACUUUGGUACAAGUCUUAAUCAUUUUUUUCUCCUCGUGUGCUCCUUAUUAUUCUUUGUGUGAACUAAUUACAUUUAGGUUUGCUUCCCCUGAGUUAGUGGCCUUCAGAAAAAUUUAGGUUCGAAAUGCUAGCAUGGAUGUGAUCUUUUUGUGCUUCCAGCUUUGGAAAGACAUUGCCCAGUUUUAUGUCAAUUUGUUCUAUUUAAAUUCUUGUCAAUAUUACAAAAUUGUGUUUCUCUAUCCAAAGGAUCUUGAUCAACAGAAUACAUUGGUCAUGAAAGUUUAGUAGAUAGUAUAUUGUUUUUAUCGAAGGCUUGUAGUUGUUAUCUAAAAUCUUUGAAGUCAGAAAUUAAGUUUGUAGUAUAUCAAAAGGAUAUGAAGUGACACAACAAUUAGUUUUUUGGGUGGUGGAUGGCAGUCUAGGAUUUUGUGUAAUGCAUUAUUCAAGAUCACAAUAGUAUAACUUCAUUAAUGAUUAAGUAUUACACCCCAUUCAACACCUUUGAUAGACUUGGCUUGGUGUUUGUUUUAUUUUCUAUGGAAACAAAUAGGGUAUUAAUAUGGUCUUAAUGGUCAGAUAGAUUGAUUCCUUUCAUUCAGGUGUGCCUGACGCUGAUAGCGGAGGUAGUGCAGGACAAUGCUUGAAUCCUGCAUUCGUCCAUGCAAUAGUUGUUCCUGAAGUUGAUAUGGUAGAUAGAUUAGGCAAGGUAUGUGUUGUAGCUAGGGGCGAUGGUGUUGUUGAUGUGAUCGAUAUUGAAUCAAAACUUUAUCCAUAUUUCAAAUGCUAGCUAUAUUGCAGAGAGUUUGGAUAUGAAAUGCUUUAAUUUUCCACAUUUAGAGAGAAAUUAUAAUGUCUUGCAAAUAUGAUUUGGUUGUUUAUUGGAGAUUAAGGAGAUUGUCUAUAAAAUUAAGUGAUAAACUGAAGUUGCGCUAUUGAUUAUGUUGAUUUUCUAGUGAAGAAAGAGGCUAUGAUGAACAACCGUUGACUGUUAAUUUGGACUUGAAGCUUAUAGUAUUCCUGGAGUUCAAAACCUAUACUGUAUUCUUGUUAAUGUUUCAAAAAUGGAUGUUCAAAAACUUUAUUGAUGUUAAUUUAUUCAAUGUUGAUCUCAUGUUCUGUAGUGGUUUUGUCUAAAACAGACAGGGAAUCUGUCGCGCAUUGCCAUUUUUAACAUUAGUUACAUAAGAGGCCUAUUUCCUAAGAAAUAUUUCAAUGAUAAGUCUGUUCCUGCCUUAGGUGAGCUUGUCAGCAUCAGAUUUACUUCAAGUUUUCUAUGAAAUUUAAGUUCUCAUUGGUGAAUAAAUUGAACAAUCAUGAAAUUAUGAACAAAGAUGAAGAUAAAAAAGCUAACACCAACGGAUGCAAAGUCUUGCAGACUGAAUGAUUGGAUGGAGAAAGGUAUGCCCUAUAUUUAAUGAGCUUCUUUUGUACUUCAUCUUGCUAAUUGGUAUUCUCUUAGACUUUCAGUUCCAUAGAUCUUUCUCUUGAAAUCUUUUUUGCAUAGAAUAGCCAAACAAAAUCUGAUACACAUUGAAAAGGCAGAGGAAAUAAAUAAUGCAACUCACAGUCACUAGUAUCUCUAUACAAGCUGCGUACAUUUCUUACUUGUGUGUUUUGUUUGUCUAAUAGUAGUCUAAUGAUAAUAUCAACUUAUACAUGUCCAUGCAGCUAGAAUUAUGUAUUUUUCCAACUGGAAAACUACUGGAAUGGGAAAUGCUAACAAAGAUAAAGCAUCAUCUGAAUUAAUUUGUGUUUUCAUUUUUCAAGUCAGAAAUUGCUUAGAGAGAUGCAAAAUAUGGUCAAAGAAUUCAGGGACUUUGUGCUUCAAGUUUUUUCAUUUUUUUAAUAUAUAUAAUCACAGUUAAUUUUUUUUUUAUUAAUUCCUUUGUAUAUACUUUUGAGCAUUCAACGUGCAUUUAUGAAAUAUAUGAUGUUAUUCCAUUCAAUAUGUGGUUGUGAUUCAAAGGAUAGUAUAUAUAUAGUAUGUAUUAUAUUGAUCUCACAGCUCAAAUUUUCGUUUUGAGCAAAAAGACAAUGUUUCUAACCAGCGGGAACACAUAAUUCCCCUUCUUGCAAAUCAGCAAACUCGGCUUGGGACUCCUGAUGAGCUUGAAUUGGUAUGCCUUAGAUACCACUCUUAAAUUAUUAAAUUAAAUUUCAAUUUGCGUAGUUAUGAUCAUCACUUUUUCCAUUGAAUUUGUAAGUUAAACAUGAUUUAUAGUAUGAUGAUGGAAGGAAGACUUUGGACAUUUAUUCCACUUUUAUUGAGACCUUUUUGUUAUUGAUUUCAUUCUAUUGAAGCUAGAAAUCAUUCUGGGAACUGUGGAGCUGCUAUUAUAUUUAAAGAAUGUACUUGCUGACCGUAUUUCAGAUUUUUUGUAUGCCUCUAUAUUUAAUUUUAUGAUUUUAUUCCUACUUGUGUACCAGGGUGUAGAAAUCUCACAAUUAUUAGGGCCUCAUGCACUAGCUAAUGAUUGGAUUUCCAUAUUAGAGUGGUCAAAUAAGUAACUUUGUUCUCCAUUUUUUAUGUUUCAUUUUUUAUUUUUUUUAUUUUUCAAAAUUUAAUGUGGUGAGGACACCUUUAGUUUUUUCAUAGUACAUGUUUUGUUGGAUUUACUACUUGAAUCUUUAUUUCCUUUUUAUACAAUUGUCCGUAAUCCUUUCUAUGACGCCUUAUGUUUGUUGAGAAUUCAUGACAUUCGCAUUUCUUCACUUGCAUAUUCAACUGCAUUAAUCUUAGAAUUGCAGAUUGUCAUUGGUUAUGUAGCAGUCUAUUUUCACUUGUAGAUUGUCAACUUGUUGCUGUUGCUUGUCUCUUUUUAGCUGCCAAAGUUGAGGAGACCCAAGUGUCCCUUCUCUUAGACUUCCAAGUGGAAGAAUCAAAGUUUGUGAUUAAAGCCAAGACAAUCCAGAGAAUGGAGCUUCUUGGCCCUGGGUGUUGGAAAGUAUGGGUUAAACAUGUCAGAUUCAAUGUACCUUCUGUUUAGAAACUUAUAUAUGACCUAGUUUUUAGACAGUUUAAAACUUUUUGGACAAUUAAAAUUUAAGGAUAAUUCUUUUUGGAUGGUUUUGAAUUAAGGUUAGUUUUUGAAUGUUUGGAAUGUA